rnacentral:rRNA from 1 species
GAUGAACGCUGGCGGCGUGCUUAACACAUGCAAGUCGAACGAGAAGUGAAGACGGAAACCUUCGGGCGGAAGGCUUUAUUUCGAGUGGCGGACGGGUGAGUAACGCGUGGGUAACCUGCCUCAUACAGGGGGAUAACAGUUGGAAACGACUGUUAAUACCGCAUAAGACCACAGCACCGCAUGGUGCGGGGGUAAAAACUCCGGUGGUAUGAGAUGGACCCGCGUUCGAUUAGCCAGUUGGCGGGGUAACGGCCCACCAAAGCGACGAUCGAUAGCCGAUCUGAGAGGAUGACCGGCCACAUUGGGACUGAGACACGGCCCAAACUCCUACGGGAGGCAGCAGUGGGGAAUAUUGCACAAUGGGGGAAGCCCUGAUGCAGCGACGCCGCGUGAGUGAAGAAGUAGUUCGGUAUGUAAAGCUCUAUCAGCAGGGAAGAAAAUGACGGUACCUGAGGAAGAAGCCCCGGCUAACUACGUG